GGAAGUCACGGGGAGCUGGCGGCUGGGUUGGGCGGCGGAUCUGCAGAGUUUCGAGGUUCUGUCAAGUUCGCUGCCCGCCGCCCAACUUGAAGCCUCAUUUACCUUUCGGCUACCUGAUUUGGAUAAAUGGAGAAAAACCGGGGCCUCUAACUCAUAAUGCCCUCCCGCGUUCAAGAUGCCAGUUUUGGGGCGGAGAUUUCUAAAUUAAAGCCUACAUCCCGCGCGGGAAUAUCUGCUGGUAAUUUCUCGCCUGCCAGAAAACUCCUUUGAUCUCUGGCUGUGGAGACUCGGGACCCCUACCCAAGUAUGGGACACUGCCUCCGUUGGGGUUAUCUCAGAUCAAUGGAAUGGGAACAAGCUAUCCGGCCUGGGCGCCGUUCACGUCUCACAUCUGAGAUCGUAACACCGACUGUGCUUAGGACCUCAGCAAUAACUUUUUGCCGUCUCUGGCCCACUGACUCCUCUCAAAAUGUCCCCUGGUCCUUUUGCUAUUCACGUAUUUCUGUGGGCUUGAGAUUUGCUUAACUCCUAUAUUGGCAAAAGGCCACUUGAAAUCGCUAGCAGAUACUCGAUAACCUGAAAGGAUAUUGCCUGGGGACACCUGACAACAGAAAGUCUAAGGUUUUCAUCUAGGAUUGGGAGUUACCCCAACACCAGCAGGAUGCAGGAAAAAGUAACUGACCGGAUGGUUGCCUCAAUCUGUUGAUUCUUCAGUGAGUUAGCUCAGAUUUUGUCCAGGAACAGCUUUCAGAGCCAAAGAUUACGUAUUGAACUUUACCAAGGCAUCUGGUGACUAGAAAACUCCUGGAAGGUGGUCAUAGCAGAAAUUGUUGGGAAAGUUCUCAGCAUAAUAAAAGAGAAAUUUUUAUUUCCUUCAUGAUCCACUCCUACAGGGAAAAAUAAAUGGCAAAUGAAC
rnacentral:lncRNA from 1 species